ensembl:lncRNA
GUGCAGGUUAACCUGAAGCCCAAGAUGGUUAGCGUGGGCACACAGACUUCAAUCAGCCCACAAACCUCCACUCCCCUCGCUAGUCCUGAACAGACAGUUGACAACGACGAUGAUGAUAAUGCCACUGUCAUCAGUGACUUGUCGUGGGUGCCCGAAGAGCCGAUGGAUGAGGAGGAAUUGUUUGAUGAGGAGCCACCUUACACGUGUGACCCCCACCACAAUUGCAUUGACAAAUUCAUUGUUUGCCAAGAGGAGCUGAUGGGCCUUUUUGCCAUCUGUCCGGCCUGUUGUGAGAGGUCGGAUAGUAGCAUCGUGCAGCAGGAAGGAACUUUUGUUAAGAUCAAGCAGGUCUGUGCAUCAUGUGGCUACCACCGUUUCUGGCAAAACCAGCCAAUGCUCCACAGGAACAUGCGCUGCAUUAUAAUCACAAUGCCAAUCGCGAGACAGCACGGAGAAGUGACGGGACAGAGAAGUACUGCGUGCGGUAUCCGCGCUUCAGAAAAGGUGCCCAUGUGGUGCGUCCCAUCAAAGAGGCAGCCUCAUACGGUAAGCAGUGUCAGGCAGUUCUAUCAUAUUUUGAGAUGGCGCACGAGUGAUCAGUGACAAUGAUCUUUAUAAAGUAAUGUUAUUAUUAUUAUGUCUGCAGGUUAUGCAACAUCAUUAAUGAAGGCCCUUCGGGAGAGCUACGCCAAUUCACCCGCGGUUCUUCGAGAGGUUGGCGCCAAUUUGUCCUCCGAUGCACCCGCCCCCAUCGCCAAAUCCUUCGAACAGAUUCCUAAGGAGGAGGCCAUCGGCCUCUACCUAGCCCGGCAGUCACGCUUUGAGAAAACCUAAUUUCACAUUAUUAUUUUUUUCCACGGACAAGUCCAAUGAUUUAGUUGUUAUUUGCAUGAAAUUUCUUUGUAUGUAAUUCAAAAUAAUUCGGUAAUCAUUUUACCUGUGCCUUGUCAACCUCUGUGUGCGGUGUUGUCUGGGCUCACUGUGUGUCUGCUUGAUGUGCUUUUGCAUGUAUCACUGCAUGAAAUAGUGUGUGUGUGUGUGUGUGUGUGUGUGAGAGAAAGAGAACCAUCAACUGACCCUCGGGUAUGACUACACUAUUGCAGAAUUUAUUAGAAUUAGAAUUAAACAUUGCGGGUCUAGCCCUUCAUCAGUGUUCCUUGUAUGUUUUGUGCCUAACCAUUUUUUUAUAUAGAUUUAAUUCCAACCUGUGUCUUUGUUCAGUAACCAUUACAAGCAAUGCCAAUCAACUUUUUUUAUCCAAAAUGCAUGUGUUCUGUGUACUUUAUAACAUUUUAAGGGCAAUUGAAUGAUCACAACAGAAUAAGCAUAACUAUUAUUUUUAUUCAUUUUAAUCCAAACAAGGCCAUUGAAAGCCCUGAUAGGUCUGGUCACCAUUCUGGAAUUGCUGUCUGAUGGUUGAAACCACACAAGAGGGUAGAGGCUUCCUUAUACUCCUCCCUAAAACGCCAUAAGCCCAGCGUAUAGCUUGCCUGUACGCAGUGUACCGGUAUUGCCUAGGGAUAAGUAGGAAAGAUUCUUAAGUUUAAAACUGUAAGUAGGUUGGAAACGUCAUUUUAAGCCUGUUUCUUAUGCAUGUUUAUUGUGUAUGCAACACAUCUCCUGUCACCUAUAACUGUUGGUUCAAAUGACUCAGUGUAAAAAGAUUUGUAAAGUAAACAUAAACCAUGAACAUACUCGUGCGUGCUGGCUUGAAGGGGACCAUGAGUGUGUGUAUGCUAUUUUUAGCACAAACGGAUUCAGGCAGCAUGCCUCAAAUCCAGGAUGCUGCGUUAGGCACGUCACAUCUGCUGGCCGCGGGGUGAGCUCCUCGACCAGCGACCAAAACGCGCUCACCUCCCUACAACACAAGCUCUCCACCACAGUUUCCAUGGGACGACACCGCCCACACAGACACCUGCCAAACACAGCGACACAGACACGCUUACUGCUCUCUCCCGGUAAGCGGUACCCUGACAGUUUCAAUGACAAUCAAUCACGAGGAAAACGAGUUAGCACUAUCAAAAAUAAUCACACUGAAGACAUAACCAGCCUACUCGGCGUCGGCUACGUUUGCAAACAACAUUUUCACCGGAGAAAGGUAAAAGCUUAGAAUAAACACUAGGGGUUCACAGGUGGGACUGUCAAGCUAGCCCAUAUUUAGAAUAAAUAGAAGGCAUAAUAUGCCUUCUAUUUCUGGAUCUUCUGACUAAGUUUAGGGUACUUAUCUGAGCCAAUGACAUAAUCACUGUCACUAGAUAUAAAGAAAACGUUGACUUUCAUUCGAUGCUAUUCACUGACAGUAAAAGAAAAUAAGUUAUUGUAUGCACUGCUGUUCAUAGACUACUAGCUCCAGCGCUCCUUGCUGCGUUUCUAAAUGGUAGCAACUCACCAGGACACUUCACCAACUCUCCACUCAUUCUCCUCUGACCAUGCAUUUAUUUGUCUUUGACGGCCAUCGGCUCUCGGGAUUUCCUCAUUUCCCCUCAUACGCCUAACCGGUUCGAAAUUAUAUGGCUGUGGGCCAUCAUAAAUGUUGACAGUGGGUCUUGCUACCUCUUCCUCAUCCCCGUCCGCCAUAAUGCUAGUUCUAAUGCGUCUACCCUAUGUGACGUCAUCGCCAAAUUGCGUAAAAAAUAACCGUUACUAACCAAAAACUACAAAAACUGGACUUUAACACCAUUUUGGAGACAUUUCUAACUUUAUAUACAUAUUUUGAGUGCUUUAUGUACCCAUUAAUCAAAACUUCCGGUUAACCUGCACCAUGGGCUUUAAGUAACAACAACUUUUAGGAAGAUUUUGAGUUUAAACUACUCAUUCCAAUUAAUUAUUUUGAGCAUUCGGGUUUACAGUGUUUCUAAAUGGGUGUAGCUAUGAAUAAUAACUAAGAUAAA